UGACUUCCAAGUUGGUUGUGCUGAAUCCUUUCCCUGGGCAAGGCAGGGAGUGAGGACACAGGAAUGACUGACACACUGCCAGCAUUGGUGACUCGGUCAAAAGGCAAGGCCUCCAGUGGAAAAGAACAGACAGAAGGUGGCUGGAGGCAAUUAGUGCGUGAGUCUGAGUGGACCAGGUGGGGAAGAUCUGCCCUCACUGUUGGUGGCCACCAUGCGAUCGGCCGGGACCCAGAGAAAACAAAUAUGGAAGGCGACCUGGUCUCCCUCUGACAGCUGGGACAGACUUCUCUUCUGCUGCUUUGGACCUCGGAACUUCAGGCUCUGGACUCCGGG